rnacentral:rRNA from 1 species
CCUACGGGUGGCAGCAGUGAGGAAUAUUGGUCAAUGGACGGAAGUCUGAACCAGCCAUGCCGCGUGCAGGAAGACGGCUCUAUGAGUUGUAAACUUCUUUUAUAAAGGAAUAAAGUGAGGCACGUGUGCCUUUUUGUAUGUAUUUUUUGAAUAAGGAUCGGCGAACUCCGUGCCAGCAGCCGCGGUAAUACGGAGGAACCGAGCGUUAUCCGGAUUUAUUGGGGUUAAAGGGAGCGUAGAUGGGUUGGUAAGUCCGUUGUGAAAGUUUGGGGAUCAACCGUAAAAUUGCAAUUGAGACUGGCAGCCUUGAGUACAGGUGAGGUAAGCGGAAGUCGUGGUGUAGCGGUGAAAUGCGUAGAUAUCACGAAGAACUCCGAUUGCGAAGGCAGCUUACUAGACUGCAACUGACAUUGAGGCUCGAAAGUGUGGGGAUCAAACAGGAUUAGAUACCCCAGUAGUC